AUAAAUCUCAACGAAAAUAGUUAUCUUAUAGACUGUUACCAUUAAGUAUAACACUUGUGUAAAAUAUUUAAUGUUAGAUGAGUACUUUCCACUCCUCCAAUUAGACCAUAAGCUCUUAUUAAUCCUCAAACCAGUGUGCAUGGAAAUUAAGAAGAAGAAUGACAGGGGAAAAAUGCAUAAUUUGAUGAUAAUGGCAUCACUUCAGUACAAAACACUGCUCAUGAAGAAAGUAAUGUUUGCAUUCAAACAAGUAGUGGCACUCAAAAGGAAGCUGAUGGAAAUAGCAAAGAAAUACCCACCUACUCCGUAAUUAUUUUCAAACCUGGAGAGAACACACCCAGUCAGCCAUUAAUCUGAAAAUGUGUGAAGCUACCGCUUGGUACAACACAGACUUAGUGAAGAAGGCUUUUAGAGGCUUGUUUCAGGUUUAGAGUGAGUCUGUAACCAAGAACCAAGUAGCCACUGAUUUGUACGACCUAAGUCUGCAAGAACACAGUUUUAUAGUUUGGCACCAUAUUGCUUGCACCGAACAUGUGAUAAUAGUAAACAAACAAGAACUAGCAGCAGUCCACUAUAACAGGAAAUAGCUAACACGUUGCUUUACGGGGUGGCAGCAGUUACCUUCAAUGAUGGAGCUGGAGUGUCAAAAGGAGAAAAGGAAGGAGAUAUGGUGAAAAAAAGGUUCAGGAGUUGUUGCCCGAUUUCAAGCCUCUUCUUGUCUUGGAUUGAAGUGGUUCAACAAAACAUUUGAACUGACCAUGUUUUGUAUAUGUAACAAACGGCAUUCUUCAGUGUUCAUUGUAAUGUCUCAAAUAAGUGUAACUACAAACUUAAUUCAGUUUCAGCCUAUUAGCUGAAGUUAACAAACACAUCUUGACUUGCAUUAAUCGGUUUAUAAGAAAUUGUUAACUGAAUUAACACUUUAAAGCCAAACCUCAUCUGAAUAUUACAUAAGUAUUAAGUCCGUACCGCAAAGAAAACACAACACUUCACCAUUGCAAAGAUCAAAUGGUGAACACUGUUUGAGGAAAUAAUUGCUGUUUACACCGAGAAUCACAUGGAACACACAAACACAAAAUGUAAAGCUACUGACCGUUGAAAAAGGUGGGAUAUAUAUUUUAGCACUGGGCUUUAAAGGGUUAAACAUGUAGAAUGAAUUUAGACAGAAUAUUCAGCCUUCCGUUUUUCUUAUCUGUGAAGCUUUGCAUGGCAACUUCUACAAUCCCAUAACUACUAGAUAUAGACUUCUUGAAGCAAACAUAAAGGAUUAGUAUAUUGUGAUUGUGUACAAGUGGUGUAAUAUUGUGAAAGAUUGUCUUCAACUGUUCUAUUGCUUGUAAUGUAUAUUGCUUUUAUUCGUACUCAGUAUCUACAAAUGUAAUUUUAAGGAAAUUGAAAGUGACAUACACAAUUAAUAAAAAGAGAUGAAGAUAAAGGCUUAUAAAGAGGAUGGAUACACAA